UGCCAGCAGCCGCGGUAAUACGGAGAGGGCAAGCGUUGUUCGGAAUCACUGGGCAUAAAGCGCACGCAGGCGGAUUGGAAAGUCGGUUGUGAAAGCCCGGGGCUCAACUCCGGAACUGCUUCCGAAACUGCCAGUCUAGAGGAUGAGAGGGGAGAGUGGAACUUCUGGUGGAGCGGUGAAAUGCGUAGAGAUCAGAAGGAACACCGGUGGCGAAAGCGACUCUCUGGCUCAUUUCUGACGCUGAGGUGCGAAAGCGUGGGGAGCGAACAGGAUUAGAUA
rnacentral:rRNA from 1 species